GAUGAACGCUGGCGGCGUGCCUAAUACAUGCAAGUCGAACGCGCAGCGAAAGGUGCUUGCACCUUUCAAGCGAGUGGCGAACGGGUGAGUAACACGUGGAUAACCUGCCUCAAGGCUGGGGAUAACAUUUGGAAACAGAUGCUAAUACCGAAUAAAACUUAGUAUCGCAUGAUACAAAGUUGAAAGGCGCUACGGCGUCACCUAGAGAUGGAUCCGCGGUGCAUUAGUUAGUUGGUGGGGUAAAGGCUUACCAAGACGAUGAUGCAUAGCCGAGUUGAGAGACUGAUCGGCCACAUUGGGACUGAGACACGGCCCAAACUCCUACGGGAGGCUGCAGUAGGGAAUCUUCUACAAUGGGCGCAAGCCUGAUGGAGCGACGCCGCGUGUGUGAUGAAGGCUUUCGGGUCGUAAAGCACUGUUGUAUGGGAAGAAAUGCUAAAAUAGGGAAUGAUUUUAGUUUGACGGUACCAUACCAGAAAGGGACGGCUAAAUACGUGACAGCCGCCGCCGUAA
rnacentral:rRNA from 1 species